rnacentral:ncRNA from 1 species
UAACAUUGUUAAACUCCCAUUAACCGAGACCUAUGGGGAGUAUAAAUUACGUCUCUCAUAUCCCGCCUGAGGGUGGCGGGAGCAUAGUAACUCCA